GCCAGUGUGGUGUAGUGGUUUGAGCAUUGAACUAUGACUCUGGAGACCAGGGUUCAAAUCCUGGCUCCUGGCC